rnacentral:rRNA from 1 species
CAGCUUGCUGCUUCGCUGACGAGUGGCGGACGGGUGAGUAAUGUCUGGGAAACUGCCUGAUGGAGGGGGAUAACUACUGGAAACGGUAGCUAAUACCGCAUAACGUCGCAAGACCAAAGAGGGGGACCUUCGGGCCUCUUGCCAUCGGAUGUGCCCAGAUGGGAUUAGCUUGUUGGUGGGGUAACGGCUCACCAAGGCGACGAUCCCUAGCUGGUCUGAGAGGAUGACCAGCCACACUGGAACUGAGACACGGUCCAGACUCCUACGGGAGGCAGCAGUGGGGAAUAUUGCACAAUGGGCGCAAGCCUGAUGCAGCCAUGCCGCGUGUAUGAAGAAGGCCUUCGGGUUGUAAAGUACUUUCAGCGGGGAGGAAGGGAGUAAAGUUAAUACCUUUGCUCAUUGACGUUACCCGCAGAAGAAGCACCGGCUAACUCCGUGCCAGCAGCCGCGGUAAUACGGAGGGUGCAAGCGUUAAUCGGAAUUACUGGGCGUAAAGCGCACGCAGGCGGUUUGUUAAGUCAGAUGUGAAAUCCCCGGGCUCAACCUGGGAACUGCAUCUGAUACUGGCAAGCUUGAGUCUCGUAGAGGGGGGUAGAAUUCCAGGUGUAGCGGUGAAAUGCGUAGAGAUCUGGAGGAAUACCGGUGGCGAAGGCGGCCCCCUGGACGAAG